UACGUAGGGGGCAAGCGUUGUCCGGAUUUAUUGGGCGUAAAGAGCGUGUAGGCGGCCUGACAGGUCUGCUGUGAAAACUCGAGGCUCAACCUCGAGAUGUCGGCGGAAACCGUCUGGCUAGAGUCCGGAAGAGGAGAGUGGAAUUCCUGGUGUAGCGGUGAAAUGCGCAGAUAUCAGGAAGAACACCUAUGGCGAAGGCAGCUCUCUGGGACGGUACUGACGCUGAGACGCGAAAGCGUGGGGAGCGAAC
rnacentral:rRNA from 1 species